AGUGAACGCUGGCGGCAGGCCUAACACAUGCAAGUCGAGCGGCAGCGGGUCCUUCGGGAUGCCGGCGAGCGGCGGACGGGUGAGGAAUGCAUCGGAAUCUGCCCUGUCGUGGGGGAUAACCUAGGGAAACUUAGGCUAAUACCGCAUACGACCCACGGGUGAAAGCGGGGGAUCGCAAGACCUCGCGCGAUAGGAUGAGCCGAUGUCCGAUUAGCUAGUUGGCGGGGUAAAGGCCCACCAAGGCGACGAUCGGUAGCUGGUCUGAGAGGAUGAUCAGCCACACUGGGACUGAGACACGGCCCAGACUCCUACGGGAGGCAGCAGUGGGGAAUAUUGGACAAUGGGCGCAAGCCUGAUCCAGCCAUGCCGCGUGGGUGAAGAAGGCCUUCGGGUUGUAAAGCCCUUUUGUCCGGGAAGAAAUCGUCUGGGCUAAUACCCCGGGCGGAGGACGGUACCGGAAGAAUAAGCACCGGCUAACUUCGU
rnacentral:rRNA from 1 species